GAUGGAUAGGAAAUAAAAAGGCAUCUUUUUAUUUUUAAAAGACCUUCUUCGGAGGGUAUGCUUAAAGAGGGGCUUGCGUCACAUUAGUUAGUUGGUAGGGUAAUGGCCUACCAAGACGAUGAUGUGUAGCUGGACUGAGAGGUUGAACAGCCACAUUGGGACUGAGACACGGCCCAAACUCCUACGGGAGGCAGCAGUAGGGAAUUUUCGGCAAUGGAGGAAACUCUGACCGAGCAACGCCGCGUGAACGACGAAGUACUUCGGUAUGUAAAGUUCUUUUAUUGAAGAAGAAACAAUAGUGGAAAAACUAUCUUGACGUUAUUCAAUGAAUAAGCCCCGGCUAACUAUGUGCCAGCAGCCGCGGUAAUACAUAGGGGGCGAGCGUUAUCCGGAAUUAUUGGGCGUAAAGGGUGCGUAGGCGGUUUAAUAAGUCUCUAGUUUAAUUUCAACGCUUAACGUUGUCCUGCUAGAGAAACUGUUUGACUAGAGUGAGAUAGAGGUAAGCGGAAUUCCAUGUGUAGCGGUAAAAUGUGUAAAUAUAUGGAGGAACACCAGAGGCGUAGGCGGCUUACUGGGUCUUUACUGACGCUGAUGCACGAAAGCGUGGGGAGCAAACAGGAUUAGAUACCCUGGUAGUCCACGCCGUAAACUAUGAGUACUAAGUGUCGGGGUUAAACUCGGUACUGAAGUUAACACAUUAAGUACUCCGCCUGAGUAGUACGUACGCAAGUAUGAAACUUAAAGGAAUUGACGGGAUCCCGCACAAGCGGUGGAUCAUGUUGUUUAAUUCGAAGAUACACGAAAAACCUUACCAGGUCUUGACAUACUCUGCAAAACUAUAGAAAUAUAGUGGAGGUUAUCAGGGAUACAGGUGGUGCAUGGUUGUCGUCAGCUCGUGUCGUGAGAUGUUAGGUUAAGUUCUAAAACGAGCGCAACCCCUGUCGUUAAUUGCCAGCACGUUAUGGUGGGGACUUUAGCGAGACUGCCAAUGAAAAAUUGGAGGAAGGUGGGGAUUACGUCAAAUCAUCAUGCCCCUUAUGAUCUGGGCUACAAACGUGAUACAAUGGCUAUUACAAAGAGUAGCUUAAACGCGAGUUUUUGGCAAAUCUCAAAAAAAUAGUCUUAGUUCGGAUUGAAGUCUGCAACUCGACUUCAUGAAGUUGGAAUCGCUAGUAAUCGCGAAUCAGCAUGUCGCGGUGAAUACGUUGACGGG
rnacentral:misc_RNA from 1 species